rnacentral:rRNA from 1 species
GAUGAACGCUGGCGGCGUGCCUAACACAUGCAAGUCGAACGGAGUUUAUGAAGUUUUCGGAUGGAUUAAACUUAGUGGCGGACGGGUGAGUAACGCGUGGGUAACCUGCCUCAUACAGGGGGAUAACAGUUGGAAACGACUGCUAAAACCGCAUAACAUUGCGACACCGCAUGGUGAUGCAAUUAAAUAUUUAUAGGUAUGAGAUGGGCCCGCGUCUGAUUAGCAAGUUGGUGAGGUAAUGGCUCACCAAGGCGACGAUCAGUAGCCGGCUUGAGAGAGUGACCGGCCACAUUGGGACUGUGACACGGCCCAAACUCCUACGGGAGGCAGCAGUGGGGAAUAUUGCACAAUGGGGGAAACCCUGAUGCAGCGACGCCGCGUGAGUGAAGAAGUAUUUCGGUAUGUAAAGCCCUAUCAGCAGGGAAGAAAAUGACGGUACCUGACUAAGAAGCCCCGGCUAACUACGUGCCAGCAGCCGCCGUAA